UUGACGGGGAGCACCACAACGGGUGGAGCUUGCGGUUUAAUUGGAUUCAACGCCGGAAAUCUUACCGGGACCGACAGCAAUAUGAAGGCCAGGCUGAAGACUUUGCCGGAUUAGCUGAGAGGUGGUGCAUGGCCGUCGUCAGUUCGUACUGUGAAGCAUCCUGUUAAGUCAGGCAACGAGCGAGACCCACGCCCACAGUUGCCAGCGUACUCUCCGGAGUGACGGGUACACUGUGGGGACCGCCGCUGCUAAAGCGGAGGAAGGAAUGGGCAACGGUAGGUCAGUAUGCCCCGAAUAUCCCGGGCUACACGCGAGCUACAAUGGUUGGUACAAUGGGUAUCUACCCCGAAAGGGGACGGAAAUCUCCUAAAACCAAUCUUAGUUCGGAUUGAGGGCUGCAACUCGCCCUCAUGAAGCUGGAAUCCGUAGUAAUCGCGUUUCAACAGAACGCGGUGAAUACGUCCCUGCUCCUU
rnacentral:rRNA from 1 species